rnacentral:rRNA from 1 species
UACGUAGGGGGCGAGCGUUGUCCGGAUUUAUUGGGCGUAAAGAGCGUGUAGGCGGUUCGGUAAGUCUGUCGUGAAAUCCUGAGGCUCAACCUCGGGCGUGCGAUGGAUACUGCCGGGCUAGAGGGUGGUAGAGGCGAGUGGAAUUCCCGGUGUAGCGGUGAAAUGCGCAGAUAUCGGGAGGAACACCAGUAGCGAAGGCGGCUCGCUGGGCCACACCUGACGCUGAGACGCGAAAGCUAGGGGAGCGAACUGG